rnacentral:tRNA from 1 species
GUUUUAAUAGUUUAAAAAAAACAUUGAUCUUGUAAAUCAAAAAUGAAUAAUUCUUAAAACA